GACGAACGCUGGCGGCGUGCUUAACACAUGCAAGUCGAACGGAAAGGCCCUGCUUUUGUGGGGUGCUCGAGUGGCGAACGGGUGAGUAACACGUGAGUAACCUGCCCUUGACUUUGGGAUAACUUCAGGAAACUGGGGCUAAUACCGGAUAUGAGCUCCUGCUGCAUGGUGGGGGUUGGAAAGUUUCGGCGGUUGGGGAUGGACUCGCGGCUUAUCAGCUUGUUGGUGGGGUAGUGGCUUACCAAGGCUUUGACGGGUAGCCGGCCUGAGAGGGUGACCGGCCACAUUGGGACUGAGAUACGGCCCAGACUCCUACGGGAGGCAGCAGUGGGGAAUAUUGCACAAUGGGCGGAAGCCUGAUGCAGCAACGCCGCGUGCGGGAUGACGGCCUUCGGGUUGUAACCCGCUUUCGCCUGUGACGAAGCGUGAGUGACGGUAAUGGGUAAAGAAGCACCGGCUAACUACGUG
rnacentral:rRNA from 1 species